CGUGAAUGUAAUGUGCAAAAUGUGCUUCUUGGGAGAAAGCCAAGAAAGUGAGAGAGAAAGGAGGAUGCUUUCUUGUAAAAUCUGUGGCAAGAAGUACAAUAAGAAUUGUGUAAAGUCUUGGGCUCAACAUAUAGAUUUGUUUCAUUGGAGUUCAUGGAGUUGUCCCUCGUGCCGUGUUUGUGAGAUUCCAAAUGGAUUGCUGCAAGAUUGCAAGAGUCUGCAAAAUCUUUCUCUGCAUAACAAUCCCAUUUCAAUGGAUGAGUUUCGGCUGAUGGAAGGGCUGGACCUUGAAGACUGUCCUGAAAAAGAGCUUCUUGGUCAUGGGCUGACUUUACUAUGGCAGGCAACAAGGAUAACAAUACCAGAUUUCAUCACCUAGUUCAUCUGUUAUAUUUUGCAAUGAGUUCAUGUGUUUUAUGUAUUUGAUUUUGUGUGUUUGAAUCAUUUUGGAAUCUAAAUUUUUUUUUAACCCCUAAUCCCUAAAUAUAUUUUAACCCCUAAAUCCUAAAUAUAAUCCUAAAAUCUAAAUUUUAAACUUUUAAACUUUAUAUAAAAAUACAAUUCGAUAUAAAUAUACUAAUUCAAACCGGACCCAUCUAGUACCCUAAAUCUAAUACCAUAAACCUUAAAAUUCAAACUUAAAUGAUAUUCUAAAUACUAAAUAAAAUCUCUAAAUUAAUUUUUUCAGAUUUUAAAUCCAAAAUUUAAAUCUAAUUUUUUAAAAACUCCAUUCAAAAUCUUAAAUGCAAACCUUAAAUCUCCAUCAAAUUCUAUACCCUAAAUCCUAACUUCAAACAUAAACACAUACCACUAAAUAUAAACUUCCAAUAUAAAUUUUUAAAAUUUAACAAACUUCAAAUUUAAAUCUUAAUCACAAACUUUUAUAUACAACUCUAACUCCUACACUUUCAAAACUCUCAAUCCCUAAAUCAUAAUGAAUUGAUCUUUAAUCUACACUUUAUAUCUAAUACCCUAUACCCCAAACUUAAACUCUACAUACAAAAUCAUAAAUCCAAUCUUUACAAACUUAUAAUAGAAAUUUUAAAUUAAACUCUAAAUAUAUUCUAAAAUUCAAAUCAUAUACUUAAUCCUAAAUCUUCACCCUAACUCCUAAACCAAAUAUCUCAUUUUAACAUAUAUCAUAAAACAUCAAAUCUUCAUUUUUAAUAAAUUAUAAUUCUGUAAAUAAAUUAAAAUUUAAAAUACAAAAUUUAGACUUCAAAUUUUCAAUUAUGAUAUCAAAGUAUUUAAAGCUUAAAUCAUUUGUAUAAUAGCUAUAAAUAAAUAAGAAGACAAUUUGUAUUGUUUUUUUUUAACCAUUGAUUGAUUUGAAUUAAAUGCCCAAAAUCACUCUUGUAUCUAUCCCCACACUUUCCUAUUGGUUUACUGACAUGGAUCACCAUAUGCACCCUUGGAUGAUAUUGAAUCAACGCUUGAGAUUAAUUAUUCUUUUUUUCCCUUUUUUUUAAUCAUCUUUUCUGAUCUACGAGAGAAGAGAGAGAGAGAGAGAGAAAAGAUGGAGUUCGUAGAUGAUAAAGGAGAAGUCGCCACGGCCGGUCAUCACCACCACCACCACCAUCGCUCGUUACCACCACCACCAUCGCCAUCUCUCCCAUCCCCAAUCGCUCGUUACCAUCACCACCAUCGUCAUCUCUCCCAUCCCCAAUCGCUCUUCACCACCACCAUCGCUUCUCAGAUCCGUCUUCACCACCGUCACGCUCGUCAUAACCACCACUGUUCACUUCUCUGUCUCUCACUCUAUGUCUCUGGUGGAGCAUACAGGACCAAGAGGGAUGACUCUGCCAAAACUAUGUCCCAGCGUUUGCAAGGUGGUGGUCAUGACUCGUGAGCAAGAGCUGAUGUUGUGCAGAGGAGAUGUCUCGAACUCGUGUCCGUCUAGACUCACACGAAUGUUGCAGUCUCUCACUGGAAUUGCCAAGUGCAGCCUUUGAAGGAUUAUACAGAUAAAACGUUGCUUUACGGCAUACUUGAAGACAAUCGUGCUUAAGUAUGGGUGUUGAGAUAAGUUAUCUUGUUCGUUAAUCUUGUACUGAUUGGUUUCCAUCUUAAGCAUAGGUAUAUGUCCUCAAAUCAUUGUAUUUAGCAACACUUUUUCUGUGUACUUUUCAGAUACUGGGGAAGCUUGAAGAAGGUGGAAGAGACAGAUGAACCUCAAGGAAGGUUGAAGUGAAACAACGAGCUUGAGGAAGGCGGCGGCUUAGGUUUAGUUUUUGGGUUAAUGUGUUUUAAUUAGUUUUUGUUUAAUAUGUACUUUUUUAGUUUUGUAAAAUUGAUUGUAUUUGUCAACUGAUUUUAAUUAAUUAAUAAAAUUUCAUUUUUAAUUA